rnacentral:rRNA from 1 species
CGCCUGGGGAGUACGGCCGCAAGGUUAAAACUCAAAUGAAUUGACAGGGGCCCGCACAAGCGGUGGAGCAUGUGGUUUAAUUCGACGCAACGCGAAGAACCUUACCUGGCCUUGACAUGCAGAGAACUUUCCAGAGAUGGAUUGGUGCCUUCGGGAACUCUGACACAGGUGCUGCAUGGCCGUCGUCAGCUCGUGUCGUGAGAUGUUGGGUUAAGUCCCGUAACGAGCGCAACCCCUAUCCCUAGUUGCUAGCAGUUCGGCUGAGAACUCUAGGGAGACUGCCGGUGACAAACCGGAGGAAGGUGGGGAUGACGUCAGGUCAUCAUGGCCCUUACGGCCAGGGCUACACACGUGCUACAAUGGCGCGCACAGAGGGCUGCAAACCCGCGAGGGGGAGCCAAUCUCACAAAACGCGUCGUAGUCCGGAUCGCAGUCUGCAACUCGACUGCGUGAAGUCGGAAUCGCUAGUAAUCGUGAAUCAGAAUGUCACGGUGAAUACGUUCCCGGGCCUUGUACACACCGCCCGUCACACCAUGGGAGUGGAUUGCACCAGAAGUGGUUAGUCUAACCUUCGGGAGGACGAUCACCACGGUGUGGUUCAUGACUGGGGUGAAGUCGUAACAAGGUAACCGUA